rnacentral:rRNA from 1 species
GGACGAACGCUGGCGGCGUGCCUAAUACAUGCAAGUCGAUCGAUAGAAGUCCAGCUUGCUGGACGGAAAUAGAGGCGAACGGGUGAGUAAUACGUAAGCAACCUGCCCACGAAGGCCGGGAUAAUCCCUGGAAACGGGGGACUAAGACCGGAUAGGUACACAGACCGCAUGGUCUGUGUAUUAAAGGAGAGAGACACUGGUGGAUGGGCUUACGGUGCAUUAGCUGGAUGGUGAGGUAACGGCCCACCAUGGCGAUGAUGCAUAGCCGGGCUGAGAGGCUGAACGGCCACAUUGGGACUGAGACACGGCCCAGACUCCUACGGGAGGCAGCAGUAGGGAAUUUUCGGCAAUGGGGGCAACCCUGACCGAGCAACGCCGCGUGAGUGAUGAAGGUCUUCGGAUUGUAAAGCUCUGUUGUAAGGGAAGAACGGCAUCUAGAGAAUAGGUGAGUGACGGUACCUUACCAGAAAGCUACGGCUAACUACGUG